GUUAUGGUUUCUUGUAUCAUACCAAUAACAAAUUUAAACAAUUAGAAGCCAAUUCAGAAGAGAUAAUGCAAUUUUGAAUCACACUGUAGCCACAUGGCAAUUCAGUGCUCUUGCAUCUACAACCUUUUACCUAAGUAUUUCAAAUAACACUCACAGCAAAGCAAUCAUGCCAUUAAAGAAUAAAUGUAACUAGUCUAUGUGCACAUAUAGUAGCACAAACAACUAUAAAGUGUGUAUUAUGAACACAAUGUGUUUAACACAAUUACACAUUUGAAAAUAAAAAUAAAUGCAUACCUGACAGCAGAGAAACACACAACAGCAUGUGAGAGUUUUAGUGCACAGCUCCAAACUCACACACACAGUGUUGUUUUUUUUUUUUUUGUAACAGAAAUCCCAAAUUAAUGUCUUGCCACUUUACUUAUAUAUCCAGGCCAGAACAAAGAAAUAUUCAGAUCAGUUGUAAAAACAUAAAAGACCUUUUGGUUUGUCAGGAUCACGUGACCCAAGGGUCACACCUGACCGGAGAAGGGAAAACAUUCUCACAGACCCUGAGGAGGACACACCCGCUCAGCAGCAGAACAGAAUUCUUCAAAAGUUUUCAUAUGUGACUGCUGUGAAAUGGAAGGGUUUUUUAUUUUUUAUUUUUAAUUUUUUACUAUUUUACUAUUUUACCAAUCACACGGACACCUUUACAAUAAUCCCGUUUCCACUGCAGGAAAUUUCCCCAGCAACUAGGGACUUUGGGCUGGUUUCCACACAGAGGACAAACCAGGAUCUAAAUAAAGUUCCAGACUCCCUUUUCCCCCGGUGGGACCCCAGUCCAAACACAAGCCUUCCCCAUCCAGCCCUGUCUGAUCCAGCCGCGCUGCACACCAGCUCCAAACCACAACCACUGUAGCUUCAUUAUCCAGGUUAUGGAUAAUGAAACUUUUUUAUUUAUUUAUUUAUUUAUUUUUAAAUGUGGAGUUAAAUGCAUAAUUGCAAUCUUAUGAGGGGCACUGCUCACUGGAGAAAGUUUCUUAAUGUGUGAAAUUCUUCAGUGUUUUCAUUGCACAUUAAUGCUAACAUUAACAAUACCUCAAAUUGUGUCUUGUUGAGGAGAGGUGUGCUUUAUUAUAUACAAUAUAUUAUAUAUAUAUUAUUAGGUAUUUUUAUUUGACCAUUAAUUACUGUUAAUGCAUUCAACAGCAACAGUUUUUCAGUAUUUAUAAAAGCACACUAAAAUACAACUGAACUUUACAGAAAUUAACUGCAGUUAACAUACAAUUAAGUGUCUGAAAACACU
rnacentral:lncRNA from 1 species